rnacentral:lncRNA from 1 species
CUUUCUGUGAACACAUGCUGUGUAGGAGCACUUAUCUGCUUUUGACAUUCCACACUCCUUGCAACCUGGGCCUCACAGCUUUUGGAAAGAACAGUCUGCCAUCUUCAUCAGUCUCACCUUUCCUGAAGAAAAACAGAAGUUACUUGUGCCACAUGACAACUCCUGAAUAGAACAUCUUCCCAGGAACCACCCCACAAGCAUGAGGAGGCUGAUGUGAGCUCUCAACCUUGAAUAGUCUUCCCUUUCCACUUAUUCAGAAUAAAUUUUUGGGGGUUUUUGGGGGAUUUCUUGGU